AUUGAACGCUGGCGGCAGGCCUAACACAUGCAAGUCGAGCGAGCGGCGGACGGGUGAGUAAUGUAUGGGAAUCUGCCCGAUAGAGGGGGAUAACUACUGGAAACGGUGGCUAAUACCGCAUACUAUCGGCUGAACCCAGAUGGGAUUAGCUAGUAGGUGGGGUAAAGGCUCACCAAGGCGACGAUCACUAGCGGGUCUGAGAGGAUGAUCAGCCACACUGGGACUGAGACACGGUCCAGACUCCUACGGGAGGCAGCAGUGGGGAAUAUUGGAAAAUGGGCGCAAGCCUGAUGCAGCCAUGCCGCGUGUAUGAAGAAGGCCUUAGGGUUGUAAAGUACUUUCAGCGGGGAGGCGUUACCCGCAGAAGAAGCACCGGCUAACUCCGUGCCAGCAGCCGCGGUAAUUC
rnacentral:rRNA from 1 species